AUCUCUACAAAGGCAGAAGCUAAAAGACAGAUUAUUUACUCACCGCUUCCUCCCCAUGAUUCUUUUGCUUUCUGCAGCCUUCUUCAUAGGAAGUGCAUUUAUAGUCACGGACCAUAAAGAGAGAAUUCUAGGAUGGGGGUCAAUUAUGGUUUUGCAGUACACAAGACCUAAGAUCUGUGAGACCCAGUGCAGGGCUUAUGGAAGUGAAGCAUUGGUUAGAGGAAUCAUUUCCGAGA